rnacentral:rRNA from 1 species
UGCAAGUCGAGGGGUAGAGGCCUUCGGGCCUUGAGACCGGCGCACGGGUGCGUAACGCGUAUGCAAUCUGCCUUCCACAGAGGGAUAGCCCAGAGAAAUUUGGAUUAAUACCUCAUAGCAUCAUGACCCGGCAUCGGGAUAUGAUUAAAGUCACAACGGUGGAAGAUGAGCAUGCGUCCCAUUAGCUAGUUGGUAAGGUAACGGCUUACCAAGGCUACGAUGGGUAGGGGUCCUGAGAGGGAGAUCCCCCACACUGGUACUGAGACACGGACCAGACUCCUACGGGAGGCAGCAGUGAGGAAUAUUGGUCAAUGGGCGCAAGCCUGAACCAGCCAUGCCGCGUGCAGGAUGACGGUCCUAUGGAUUGUAAACUGCUUUUGUACGGGAAGAAACCCUCCUACGUGUAGGAGCUUGACGGUACCGUAAGAAUAAGGAUCGGCUAACUCCGUGCCAGCAGCCGCGGUAAUACGGAGGAUCCAAGCGUUAUCCGGAAUCAUUGGGUUUAAAGGGUCUGUAGGCGGUCUUGUAAGUCAGUGGUGAAAGCCCAUCGCUCAACGGUGGAACGGCCAUUGAUACUGCUGGACUUGAAUUAUUGGGAAGCAACUAGAAUAUGUAGUGUAGCGGUGAAAUGCUUAGAGAUUACAUGGAAUACCAAUUGCGAAGGCAGGUUGCUACCAAUGGAUUGACGCUGAUGGACGAAAGCGUGGGUAGCGAACAGGAUUAGAUACCCUGGUAGUCCACGCCGUAAACGAUGGAUACUAGCUGUUG